AAAUAAAUUAUCACAAUGAGCACUUUCUUCCUGCUCAAAGUGUUGUUCUGGCCAGUUCUAAUUCUUCAGCACCAGCUUCAUUCAUAACAGGCAGGGAUGGUGCCCCGUAAGUGCUGGAGACUCGGAUCUGAUAGAAUCAUUGCAGAUAUAAUUAAAUGAGUUAAGCUGAGGUCCUACCAGAUUAGGGUGGGCUCUCAUCCCAUGACUGAUGUCCUUGUAAGUGGAGAAAUGGAGAAGACAUAUGUGUGCAGAGGGAAGACAAUGUGAAUACACACAGGGAGAACACCAUGUGAUGAUGUAGAAGCCACUGGAGAGCU
rnacentral:lncRNA from 1 species